rnacentral:rRNA from 1 species
UACGUAGGGGGCUAGCGUUGUCCGGAUUUAUUGGGCGUAAAGAGCGUGUAGGCGGCCAGGUAGGUCUGCUGUGAAAACUCGAGGCUCAACCUCGAGACGUCGGCGGAAACCAUCUGGCUAGAGUCCGGAAGAGGAGAGUGGAAUUCCUGGUAUAGCGGUGAAAUGCGCAGAUAUCAGGAGGAACACCGGUGGCGAAGGCGGAUCUCUGGGCCGAUACUGACGCUGAGGAGCGAAAGCGUGGGGAGCGAACAGG